UGGCUGAGCACCGCGGCUGGCAUCCUCUCGUGGCAUGGCACAGGUUCAUCAGUCAGGUGGUCAGCACCCAAACUAAAACCAUGAGUCAUGGUGGCCAGGAUGACGUCCAAGAAUUGCAUCCCAGCAGCACAGAUGGGGGAGCCAACAUGAAGAGGUGUCCAGAGAGGCUUCUUUCGCUUGGGGCUUUGCAACAGCACCAGGACCUCACCAUCAGUGAUGCUGGUUUCCUCAUCCAUCGGGCCUACUUACAUUCCUCACCUGAUGCACU